AAAAUUAAAAUAUAUGUUAAUAAUAUCUUAAUUUAACGAUAUAUUAGAAUCCAGAUAUUUUCUAGCCCUGUCUACCGAGAAAGCCUAGAAGCAAUGACACUGUAGUAGCAAUGAACACACGCAACAUUCAAAUUUUGCUUUCUAUUAAAAAGAGCCAGCUCUUUGCAGAAAUGGUUGAUUCUAGGGCUGGGAUAGAAAAUAUACAACAGGAUCCACUUGUAUACUUUGUCUUAUGCUUUUAGCAAAGGGAAAAGCAAUUGAAGGAAUUUGACCAGAUAAAAAAAAUCUGAUUUAUGCUUGAAUAACAUUACUCUGGUUCUUCUGUCAGGGACAUAGAAUAGGAUGCUAUUAUAUUAAUGAGGAUGACAGAAGAUGGUGGAAGUAGGGAGAAGCAGUCAGUUUCUGGAUAUGUAUUGAAAAUGAAGUUGGAGUAUUCUGAUUCAUUUGGAGGAGAAAUAGAAUGUAUAUCUAAGGGUGGUUUGUGUAUGAGAAAGAGAGAAAGAAAUUAAAUGUAACCCUUACCCAACCUCCAGGGUUCUUUUGGUCUGAGAUACUGAGUAUAAGUUUUCAAAAGGUGAGAUGGAGAAACACUGUGAGAAAAGAAAAUUGGUGGUGGGGGGUGAAAGAUCAGAAAAUCAGUUGUGUGCCUGUUUAUUUAGAGCCAUCUUUUGCCUUCUAUGUAGAAUUACACAUUGGCUGUGAAUCUAUAUUUAAGUGCAGAAAUCUGGACUAAAGAUAUAAAUCUGGGGAUCAUCUGCCUAUUUCCCAUAUUUAACUUUGAGACUGGAUCAAAUCACCAGGGAAGAACAUGUAUUUAUUCCAACAGUCACUUACCAUGUCCUCAGUAUAAUGAAGAAGUGCCUGUAAGGAGCAGAUAAUUGACAAAGAGAGAUGAAAUUUGCUCAUAAAUAACUACAAUACGAGCAAAUAUGAUGAAUAAGCAAUAAAAAAGGACUUCUCCUGGAUUGUGUUGUAGGAAGAGGAUGCUGUACACUUGCUGUGCCCCUCUUUUUUCCAAGGCAUGGAUAACAGUGACCUUUCAGGAAGAGGAAGGAGGUAGCCUAAGCAUGGGCAUCAGCUGCUUGGGGGAUUACACAUCAGUCUUGAGGAUGCCAGCUGACCAGCUGUGCUUGCUCACACAGAGUUCAUGGGAAAUGCAAACUGUGUACCACCAUCCAGUUGAAGGAGGGGCAGCUGCUGCCCUCAGGCAGUGGACAAGUCUUCACAGUUAAC